GUAAAUUUCAAACAGAUUUUCAAUACUGAUACUGGGUUCAAAACUGACUCCCUUCCAGAACUUAAACUAUUAAACUCCUGAGAGUCUUCAAAUAACGUACUCCAUUUGGCUAAACCAGACUACUUUAUUAUAAUUAUCAUUCCAUCAUCUCAAAGUGGGAACGACAACACCUGCAUCACAAAGACAGUGUGAGGAUUAGGCAGUAAAAGCAUGUUAGCACCGUGCAGAGUGCUCUAGAAGUUUUAAUUUAUUUACAGCAGAAAUUUUGCCUCAUGGGAACUAUGUGAAAAGCAGAGGCAAGUGGGAAGUUGCGGGUAGCUACAUGUCAACACCCAGGAACACAGGCUGGUGAUGUGGGGAGGGAAGGCAGUUAACAACCUCCUGAGGAGUCCUUGCAGCCUCUUCUCAGACCAACAGCAGCAGAAACCCAAACCUCAGGACUCCCACCUCGGACUGAUUGAGUCACUUGCAAGUAUAUGUAAAUCUCAUCUCCUUGGAAAACUGCUAAAUAAUAAAACUGCCAACGUGCAGACCCAGGCGCUCAGACCCUGCCAGUGUAGCUCAUGUACCUCUGGGAUGUGCAAGCCGAAACACGUGUGCACGUCUGAGCGGCUGAACCAACAUGUAUCCAUAAACAUUAUGAAUAAUACUCGCGAGAAUGUACGGCUUUCUCCUGAGUUAGCGCUUGAAGCACUUGACCCAAAUCAAGUCCCUUUCGUAUCACUCCUUCCCUGCCUUUCCUACGUAUCCACUCCAAUGCUGAAAGUUGGAGCUCCUCACCCAAAGACUGGGCGGAAGGGGUGACCGCCCUGGACCCCUGCCCGACUUCCCGUUAGGCCAAGCCGCCGUCCUGAAAGGGGAUUGUGUCCAGGCCGGCUUCCUGGAGACACACCUGCGCGUGCACACACCCACCGCGGUCGCAUCACCAGUGCCGCGGCCACCUGGACGAGGACCAAAGUCUGGAGGGAAUUCCCUCAGCCAUAGAGCGAUGGGAAAGCGGGACUCGGGUUCAUAGGCGGAAGGGACUUUUCUUGUCUCAAAUGAAACUUUGGACUGUGGACUUCUGAGUUAAUGCUGAAAUGAGUUAAGACUUUGGAGGACUGUUGGGAAGGCAUGAUUGGUUUUGAAAU